CCUACGGGCGGCAGCAGUAGGGAAUCUUCCACAAUGGGCGAAAGCCUGAUGGAGCAACGCCGCGUGGGUGAAGAAGGUCUUCGGAUCGUAAAACCCUGUUGUUAGAGAAGAAAGUGCGUGAGAGUAACUGUUCACGUGUCUACGGUAUCUAACCAGAAAGCCACGGCUAACUACGUGCCAGCAGCCGCGGGAAUACGUAGGGGGCAAGCGUUAUCCGGAUUUAUUGGGCGUAAAGGGAACGCAGGCGGUCUUUUAAGUCCGAUGUGAAAGCCUUCGGCUUAACCGGAGUAGUGCAUUGGAAACUGGGUGACUUGAGUGAAGAAGAGGAGAGUGGAACUCCAUGUGUAGCGGUGAAAUGCGUAGAUAUAUGGAAGAACACCAGUGGCGAAGGCGGCUCUCUGGUCUGUAACUGACGCUGAGGUUCGAAAGCGUGGGUAGCAAACAGGAUUAGAUACCCGAGUAGUC
rnacentral:rRNA from 1 species